GCUGCGAUGGCCGAGUGGUUAAGGCGUCUGACUAGAACGAUGAAAAUGACACAUAGUUAUCAGAUGGGUUCUCCCGCGUAGGUUCGAAUCCUACUCGCAGCG
rnacentral:tRNA from 1 species